rnacentral:rRNA from 1 species
CCUACGGGUGGCAGCAGUGGGGAAUAUUGGACAAUGGGCGAAAGCCUGAUCCAGCCAUGUCGCGUGUGUGAAGAAGGCCUUCGGGUUGUAAAGCACUUUCAGUGGGGAAGAAAGCCUUGGGGCUAAUACCCUCGAGGAAGGACAUCACCCACAGAAGAAGCACCGGCUAACUCCGUGCCAGCAGCCGCGGUAAUACGGAGGGUGCGAGCGUUAAUCGGAAUUACUGGGCGUAAAGCGCGCGUAGGCGGUCUGAUAAGCCGGUUGUGAAAGCCCCGGGCUCAACCUGGGAACGGCAUCCGGAACUGUCAGGCUAGAGUGCAGGAGAGGAAGGUAGAAUUCCCGGUGUAGCGGUGAAAUGCGUAGAGAUCGGGAGGAAUACCAGUGGCGAAGGCGGCCUUCUGGACUGACACUGACGCUGAGGUGCGAAAGCGUGGGUAGCAAACAGGAUUAGAUACCCCGGUAGUC